GACGAACGCUGGCGGCGUGCUUAACACAUGCAAGUCGAACGGUAAGGCCCUUCGGGGUACACGAGUGGCGAACGGGUGAGUAACACGUGGGUGAUCUGCCCUGCACUUCGGGAUAAGCCUGGGAAACUGGGUCUAAUACCGGAUAGGACCCUGGGAUGCAUGUCCUGGGGUGGAAAGCUUUUGCGGGGUGGGAUGAGCCCGCGGCCUAUCAGCUUGUUGGUGGGGUAAUGGCCUACCAAGGCGACGAGGGGUAGCCGGACUGAGAGGGUGACCGGUCACACUGGGACUGAGAUCCGGCCCAGACUCCGACGGGAGGCAGCAGUGGGGAAUAUUGCACAAUGGGCGCAAGCCUGAUGCAGCGACGCCGCGUGAGCGAUGACGGCCGUCGGGUUGUAAACCUCUUUCAGCGCCGACGAAGCGCAAGUGACGGUAGGUGCAGAAGAAGGACCGGCCAACUACGUGCCAGCCGCCGCAGUAA
rnacentral:rRNA from 1 species